CCAGGCGCCGCGGCAGCGACUCCCCUGCGGGGUGUGGAGAGGCCGCUGGAGCGGAUUUUUCUGAAAAUGAAGUUGAGAACUAAGCUCAUGGUACUGGCUGCAGGUCAUUAUCUUAAGGAUUAAAAUUUGGAAGCCCAUUUAGAAUGUCUUGGCCAGAGAAGGGUGGUAGGAAACCUGAAGUGUCAUUACUAAGUCUGAGGCAUCUGCAGGAGACCCCCGAUGCUUCUGGUGCCAUGGUUUUUGGGAGCGCUUACCAUUGACCUGCAUUCUGUCCACCAUGAAGCAGAAGCUGCUGGACAUGAGAGAGGGUGAUGCAGCAUGUGUAAGUGGUAUCUCGGUUGCAGUACCUUUCAUCACUCAGAAAAAAUUUUCAGUGCCAGAAGCCUGAGAAAAUGAUGGGACUGAGAUAAGAACUGAAGAUAUGUGAAGAUUUCAGAGUUUACAAAGGAAAUACGAUAAUUUUCUUGGCCCUGUCCUCUAAACUUUUUCCCAUAGGAAAAUUUUCACAGCCUCAACCAACUCCACAAGUAGGUGGUGUCCAGGCAUGUACAAAAAUCUUAACAUGUGAGCAACUCAUGAGAAUGUAGUGUCCACCUGAGUGCUGGGAACCAUACAGCUUUGCAAAGCAGAGCAGCACCAAAUGGGAGAAGCACACAUGAAGCAUUGUUAUUUGUGUACAUCUAACUGAAACUUUUAUUUUUAUUCAGUUUUGUAUCUAGGUCAAGUGCAAGAGAAGCAAGCCUUUCUUACCUGCAGUGUACUCUAUUAGUGUUAUCGCUGUGCCAGAAAUGACCAAUUUUUCUAUUAUAAUAUUACUCCUACAAGUUGGCUGCCAAAAAAAUGUUAAAGUUUUGCCAAAUUAUCUGCUCAUAUUUGUAUAAAAUAUAUGUUGCAUAUGAGAUUAAUAUCACUGUAGAGAGUGGAGACUGAAUGGUUUUUUGUAUGUGAUACCAUAUAUAUUAAACAACCUUGAUCAAUAAGUUGUUGUCCUCUACAUUUAGUAAAGACAUGAAAAUACUGA
ensembl:lncRNA